rnacentral:rRNA from 1 species
UUAACGCUGAGGUGUGAUGACGAGGCACUACGGUGCUGAAGUGAUAAAUGCCCUGCUUCCAGGAAAAGCCUCUAAGCAUCAGGUAACACGAAAUCGUACCCCAAACCGACACAGGUGGUCAGGUAGAGAAUACCAAGGCGCUUGAGAGAACUCGGGUGAAGGAACUAGGCAAAAUGGUGCCGUAACUUCGGGAGAAGGCACGCUGAUAUGUAGGUGAAGCCCCUGCGGGCGGAGCUGAAAUCAGUCGAAGAUACCAGCUGGCUGCAACUGUUUAUUAAAAACACAGCACUGUGCAAACACGAAAGUGGACGUAUACGGUGUGACGCCUGCCCGGUGCCGGAAGGUUAAUUGAUGGGGUUAGCGGCAACGCGAAGCUCUUGAUCGAAGCCCCGGUAAACGGCGGCCGUAACUAUAACGGUCCUAAGGUAGCGAAAUUCCUUGUCGGGUAAGUUCCGACCUGCACGAAUGGCGUAAUGAUGGCCAGGCUGUCUCCACCCGAGACUCAGUGAAAUUGAACUCGCUGUGAAGAUGCAGUGUACCCGCGGCAAGACGGAAAGACCCCGUGAACCUUUACUAUAGCUUGACACUGAACACUGGUCCUUGAUGUGUAGGAUAGGUGGGAGGCUUUGAAGCGUGGACGCCAGUCUGCGUGGAGCCAACCUUGAAAUACCACCCUUUAAUGGCUGGUGUUCUAACGUAGACCCGUAAUCCGGGUUGCGGACAGUGUCUGGUGGGUAGUUUGACUGGGGCGGUCUCCUCCCAAAGAGUAACGGAGGAGCACGAAGGUUGGCUAAUCCUGGUCGGACAUCAGGAGGUUAGUGCAAUGGCAUAAGCCAGCUUGACUGCGAGCGUGACGGCGCGAGCAGGUGCGAAAGCAGGUCAUAGUGAUCCGGUGGUUCUGAAUGGAAGGGCCAUCGCUCAACGGAUAAAAGGUACUCCGGGGAUAACAGGCUGAUACCGCCCAAGAGUUCAUAUCGACGGCGGUGUUUGGCACCUCGAUGUCGGCUCAUCACAUCCUGGGGCUGAAGUAGGUCCCAAGGGUAUGGCUGUUCGCCAUUUAAAGUGGUACGCGAGCUGGGUUUAGAACGUCGUGAGACAGUUCGGUCCCUAUCUGCCGUGGGCGCUGGAGAAUUGAGGGGGGCUGCUCCUAGUACGAGAGGACCGGAGUGGACGCAUCACUGGUGUUCGGGUUGUCAUGCCAAUGGCACUGCCCGGUAGCUAAAUGCGGAAGAGAUAAGUGCUGAAAGCAUCUAAGCACGAAACUUGCCCCGAGAUGAGUUCUCCCUGAGACUUUAAGUCUCCUGAAGGAACGUUGAAGACGACGACGUUGAUAGGUCGGGUGUGUAAGCGCAGCGAUGCGUUGAGCUAACCGAUACUAAUGAACCGUGAGGCUUAACCUU